GGGAUGGUUCCAUUCAAUUAUUGAUUCUUUAGUUAAUGUUUUAUUAUUCAUCCAUCGGCUAAUGCAUUAUUUGAUGCGCUUUGUCAAUUGCCAUGAAAAGGGGAAAACAGAAAUAUUUGAAUGGUCCCAGCUCUCCAUUGCUCCAGUACCAUACAUGUGUAAUGCAUAUUAAUGCUGGGACAUGGGCAUAAUUCGAAAGGGCCACAUCCAAGGACCUAAGGAAAUUGUAACAUGAUCAUGAAUCAAUUCCAGGACAGUUAAUUACUGUUGGUGCAUGUGUAUGUGUUGGUGGUCCUGUCCCUGGGCACUUAGCCUUGUAAAUUAAUCCUCCAGGCUCCAAUACUUUGUUAACGAUACAACUAUAUGUGGAAUGUUUAUUGGAAGAGCAAAUUGUAGCGUCUUGUGGAAUCUGUGGAGAAAAUAAUUUUAACAUGUUUAAAGUGGUACAAAGUUAACGUAGGUCGAAUUUGAUAGCUCGUGGGCUUUUUAGUUGCUAGUUUGAACAAGAACAGUGGAUUUUUUUUUUUUUAAUCUGCAAAGCCAAAUGGGCAAACGAGUACAGAACAAAUGAAAAGGUUAAAGGCCCAUAAUCCAGUCUCUUACAAAUAUUUCCAAAUCAAGAAAUCACCUUCAAAGAAACCUUGGAAACCAAAACAUUGAAAACAAAACUACCAAAAAACCCAUUGCGGCACCGUUGGACAUCCAAAGCCGGAACCAGAGCAACAACUAGGGAGAAGAUACUAGAAGCGUUAACAGCGAUAAAGCACCUACAUGCAUCCAAACAUCGACACAAAAGCCUUCGUGCUUGUGAAAACGUAACAGAAAAUAGAAAUUGUGAGAUAAUGCGGAUCCCAUUUCAUUGAUCAAUAACUGUUUAUAUACAGGUGGGAAGAGUAUCUUGAAAUUUCUACAAGCUUCUAAAAGAAAGAAAAAAUGAAAAUAGCUUAGCACUUGCUAUCGAUUGCCAGCUAUGUCCAACAAUUCUAAAAAACUUUCAAUAGAUGCAGGAAUUUUUUUCCCUGCUUUGUAUUUUUUUCUUUUUUAAACCUGUUUCUGUAACUUACUGUUGCACAUCGUUUUGGACUCUGCUUUCUUCCUUCCCUUCACUAGUACUGGUCAAAAUGCUCCGUUUACAUAAUUCUUCAUCCCCCCCGCAAGAUGGAGACGGGUCAAAAUCAUGAAGUCCCAUCUUGGCUAACAAAAUUGCAAAAGCAGAGGCGCCUAAAGCUUUGGUAAACAAAUCAGCAAGCUGUAAACGAGAAGGAAUGUGUAUGGUUUGAAUGAAGCCUUGCUUAGCUUGCUCUCUUACCACAUGACAAUCAAUGUCAAGGUGUUUAGUGCGUUCAUGGAAAAUUGGGUUUGCAGCUAUAUGUUGAGCUGCCUUAUUAUCACAGUGAAGCAAAAUUGGAAGGGAUGGUUGAAUGCGAAAUUCGUGGAGUAUAUAAGUAAUCCACUAAAGUUCACAAACCGUUGAAGCCAUGCUACGGUAUUCAGCCUCAGCAGUAGAACGACUAACAGUAUUCUGUUUCUUUGCCUUCCGUGAAAUGAGAGAUGGACCAAGAAAAAUACAGAACCCAGUGAGAGAUUUGCGAGACAUGGAGCACGAUGCCCAGUCGGCAUCACAGAAAGCUUGUAGCUUGAAAUCAUUGUUAGUUGGAAAAAAAAUUCCUUUUGCUGGACAUCCUUUGAGGUAGCGAAGGACAUGGAGUGCUGUGUUCCAGUGGGACUCUCGUGGAUGCUGCAUGAAUUGGCUCAAUUGUUGAGUAGAAUAUGUAAUAUCAGGUCGUGUAAGACUGAGAUACAAUAAUCGCCCAACCAAGCGCCUGUAUUUUUCAGGAUCUGGAAGUAAUGGGCUAUCUUCAUUGUUCAAUUUGAGUCUCUUUGGGAAUGGAAAUGGUGUGGACUUUGCCUCUGUAAAUCCAGCAUCCUUGAUGAUAUCUAGCACAUACUUUCGUUGAUUCAAAAACAUGCCUUGUUCAGAUCGAGCCACUUCAAUUCCUAAAAAAUAUUUGACAUAGCCCAAGUCUUUGAUAGUGAAUUGCUGAUCCACGAAUUUCUUAACAGCAAUGAUGUCAGCUUCACUUGUCCCAGUAAUAAGAACAUCAUCAACGUACACAAUUAGAGCAAGAAAAUUUGUUGCAGACCCUUUGGUGAAUAAACAAUGAUCAAAAGCAGAUUGAGUGAAGCCAUAUAACUUCAAGUGAUGGGUCAACUCCUUGUUCCAUUGCCUACCUGCCUGUUUCAGACCAUAUAAGCACUUCACCAAUUUACAGACUUCACCUGGUUUUGCCUUAGAGUACCCUUGAGGUGGAAGCAUGUACAAAUCUUCAUCAACAUGACCAUGUAAGUAGGCAUUAUUAAUAUCAAGCUGAUGGACAGACCAUUUAGAAGCAGUGGCAAUAGCUAGAACUAUCCUCACUGUUACUAACUUGGCAACUGGGGAAAAAAUUUCAUGAUAAUCCACACCAGGAAGCUGAUUGAAACCUUUGGCUACUAAUCUAGCCUUGUAUCUGUCUAUGGUUCCAUCAGGUCUAUACUUAAUACGGUAUAGCCACUUGGAGGCUAUGGCUUUUUUCCCUUCAGGCAACUUGGUGAGGUACCGAGUAUUGUUUAAUUCAAGAGCAUCUAAUUCAGAUUGCAUUGCCCUUACCCAAUUACUAUCCUCUUUGGCCUGUUGAUAAGAUUUAGGUUCCACAGAAGCAGAUACAUGUGCUACAAAACUAAUGUAAUCAUGAUGAAAUGUAGGUGGUGACAGAUAAGAAGGUAUAGUAGGGAAAGCAAAUAUACCUGCAGAGUGAAUGUUGUCUUCGGUAUGACUACUAGGAGCUGCAAUAGGAAAAUCAAUAGAAGCAACAAAAUCAGUUAGCCAUUUUGGUUUAGAAGUGAUUCGUGUGCUUUUCCUUGUGAUAGGUAUCAAAGUUUGUGGUAAUGAAGUCUAUGAAAAUGAAGGUUGUGGUGACUGAGGAGUGGAAGAAGCAGUUGGUAACAUGUGGGAUUGUGGUGUAGAUGAAGUGAGUGAGUUAUGUAAACUGGAAGUAGAGGAAUUACUAGGAGCAGAAGUAGGACUAGUGUGAGGUGUUGUGAAAAUUGGCAAAAAAUUGAAUUGAGAGUCUAGAAAGGUAAAGGAAUUGUGCUGUCACCAGAUUUGUGAAGUUGUGACUUUUGAAAUGGAAAAUAAUGCUCAUGAAAAACAACAUCUCUUGAUAUGAAAAUGCAUUUUUCAACUAAGUUGUACAAUUUGUAGGCUUUAAAUCCAGGUGCAUAUCCAAUGAAAAUACAUUUAAAAGUUCUUGGUGAAAACUUAUCCUUGUUGGGUGUAAGAUUUGUAGCAAAACACAUGCAGCCAAAUACUUUUAAUUUGUU
rnacentral:misc_RNA from 1 species